rnacentral:rRNA from 1 species
UCUUUUCGGAGAGUUUGAUUCUGGCUCAGAACGAACGCUGGCGGCGUGGAUAAGACAUGCAAGUCGAACGAGAUCCUUAGCAAAGCUUGCUUUGCUAAGUCUAGUGGCGAACGGGUGAGUAACACGUGAGCAACCUGCCCAGAAGCAGGGGAUAAGCCACCGAAAGGUGGUCUAAUACCGUAUGUGAUUUCAAGAGGCAUCUCUUGAUGAUUAAAGGGGGGGACCUUCGGGCCUCCCACUUCUGGAUGGGCUCGCGGCCUAUCAGCUAGUUGGUGAGGUAAUGGCUCACCAAGGCAACGACGGGUAACUGGUCUGAGAGGAUGAUCAGUCACACUGGAACUGAGACACGGUCCAGACACCUACGGGUGGCAGCAGUCGAGAAUCAUUCACAAUGGGCGAAAGCCUGAUGGUGCGACGCCGCGUGGAGGAUGACAGCCCUAGGGUUGUAAACUCCUGUCAUGAGAGAGUAAAGACUUAACGUUAAUAACGUUGGGUCCUGAUAGUAUCUCAAGAGGAAGGGACGGCUAACUUCGUGCCAGCAGCCGCGGUAAUACGAAGGUCCCAAGCGUUGUUCGGAAUUACUGGGCGUAAAGCGUGCGUAGGCGGAAUGGUAAGUCAGAUGUGAAAUCCCGGGGCUCAACCUCGGAACUGCAUCCGAUACUGCCAAUCUAGAGUAGUGGAGGGGAGUCUGGAAUUCACGGUGUAGCAGUGAAAUGCGUAGAUAUCGUGAGGAACACUAGUGGCGAAGGCGAGACUCUGGACACUAACUGACACUGAGGCACGAAGGCUAGGGUAGCGAAAGGGAUUAGAUACCCCUGUAGUCCUAGCAGUAAACGGUGCGCGUUUGGUGUGGGCGGGUUCGACCCCGUCCGUGCCGAAGCUAACGCGUUAAACGCGCCGCCUGGGGAGUACGGCCGCAAGGCUAAAACUCAAAGAAAUUGACGGGGACCCGCACAAGCGGUGGAGUAUGUGGCUUAAUUCGAUGCAACGCGAAGAACCUUACCAGGGUUUGACAUGUAAGUAGUACUGAACCGAAAGGGGAUGGACCCGCAAGGGAGCUUACACAGGUGUUGCAUG